AUCAACAGGAUCCAGUUGAUGUUCAAAUUGACAGGCUCCUGGAUCAGAACUAACCUUUAAAUGGUAGCAAUAAAAGAAGCUUUGUGAAGAGUUGACCCAAACCCAAUCUUAACUUGCAAAAGGAGGAAAGCUGAAGUUGAAGGUUUGAGGCCAUCAAUCUUGUGGCAUAUCUUAGGUGGAAAACAUCAGCAAACUAGCCAAGAAAAGGAUUACUGACCAAAAGUGAAGGAAAACAGCUAACAGAUAGUCUGAAAUUUACAUGGAAAACCAGUGCAGGAAACACUGGAAGAUGGAAAACAAUGGAAUAUUGAGGAAUGGCCUACCUUCUCUCAUAAGGAAUCUAAAAAUACAAAAUGUAACUGCCUGUAUUCUUCAGCGUUCUCCAGAGAAACAGAA